CCUACGGGAGGCAGCAGUGAGGAAUAUUGGUCAAUGGCCGUAAGGCUGAACCAGCCAAGUCGCGUGAAGGAAGAAGGAUCUAUGGUUUGUAAACUUCUUUUAUAGGGGAAUAAAGGUAUCCACGUGUGGCUAUUUGCAUGUACCCGAUGAAUAAGCAUCGGCUAACUCCGUGCCAGCAGCAGCGGUAAUACGGAGGAUGUGAGCGUUAUCCGGAUUUAUUGGGUUUAAAGGGUGCGUAGGUUGUUUUUUAAGUCAGCGGUGAAAGUUUGUGGCUCAACCAUAAAAUUGCCGUUGAAACUGGAAGACUUGAGUGUGUUUGAGGUAGGCGGAAUGCGUGGUGUAGCGGUGAAAUGCAUAGAUAUCACGCAGAACUCCGAUUGCGAAGGCAGCUUACUACGCCAUAACUGACACUGAAGCACGAAAGCGUGGGGAUCAAACAGGAUUAGAUACCCUAGUAGUC
rnacentral:rRNA from 1 species